rnacentral:rRNA from 1 species
UGCAAGUCGAACGCACCUUCGGGUGAGUGGCGGACGGGUGAGUAACGCGUGGGAACCUGCCCUCAGGAGGGGGAUAACGGCUGGAAACGGCCGCUAAUACCCCAUAUGCCGAGAGGUGAAAUGAAUUUCGCCUGAGGAUGGGCCCGCGUCUGAUUAGCUAGUUGGUGGGGUAAAGGCCUACCAAGGCGACGAUCAGUAGCUGGUCUGAGAGGAUGAUCAGCCACACUGGGACUGAGACACGGCCCAGACUCCUACGGGAGGCAGCAGUGGGGAAUUUUCCGCAAUGGGCGAAAGCCUGACGGAGCAACGCCGCGUGAGGGAUGAAGGCCUCUGGGCUGUAAACCUCUUUUCUCAAGGAAGAAGAUCUGACGGUACUUGAGGAAUAAGCCACGGCUAAUUCCGUGCCAGCAGCCGCGGUAAUACGGGAGUGGCAAGCGUUAUCCGGAAUUAUUGGGCGUAAAGCGUCCGCAGGUGGCCCUGUAAGUCUGUCGUUAAAGCGUGGAGCUUAACUCCAUUUAAGCGAUGGAAACUACAGGGCUAGAGUGUGGUAGGGGCAGAGGGAAUUCCCGGUG